UGGGGAAUUUUGGACAAUGGGCGCAAGCCUGAUCCAGCCAUGCCGCGUGCAGGAUGAAGGCCCUCGGGUUGUAAACUGCUUUUGUACGGAACGAAAAGCCUCUUUCUAAUAAAGAGGGGUGAUGACGGUACCGUAAGAAUAAGCACCGGCUAACUACGUG
rnacentral:rRNA from 1 species